GGGGCUGUAACUCAGUGGUAGAGUGCUUAUCUCACACGUGUGAGGUACUGGGUUCAAUCCUCAGCACCA
rnacentral:tRNA from 1 species